rnacentral:tRNA from 1 species
GCGGCCGUGGUCUAGCGUGGUCUAGGACACCGGCCCCCCGCGCCGUUAACCCGGGUUCAAAUCCCGGCGGCCGCA